ncrna:unclassified sequences pemK RNA
ACAAUGAUACUUCUGCCCAGCCACAGUCCGAGCGUUAAAAGCGUCGCAGGCAAUGGGGGCAGCUUGGUCGGACGACGGAGAGGUGAAAUUCCUAUGG